UCCUUCCCAAAGCUGUGUGCUGUGUUGGAGAGGACUACUUUCUCCAAUAGAGGAGGACUGGUCUUUGGUCAAGGGUAUAGGAUCUAAUUCCUAGGUCCUUGAUCCCCCAAAGAAAUAGACCAGAGACCCAGAGGAAAAAGUAGGCCCAAAU
rnacentral:sRNA from 1 species